rnacentral:rRNA from 1 species
CAAUAGCGUAUAUUAAAGUUGUUGCAGUUAAAAAGCUCGUAGUUGGAUUUGUGGCGUACGGUGUGUUCCGGGCACUUGUUGUCUGAGUAACCUGCUGUUGCCAUCCUUGGGUGGAACCUGUGUGGCAUUAGGUUGUCGUGCAGGGGAUGCCCAUCAUUUACUGUGAAAAAAUUAGAGUGUUCAAAGCAGGCUUAUGCCGUUGAAUAUAUUAGCAUGGAAUAAUGAGAUAGGACUUUUUUGCUAUUUUGUUGGUUUGCGCAAGAAGGUAAUGAUUAAUAGGGAUAGUUGGGGGUAUUCGUAUUCCAUUGUCAGAGGUGAAAUUCUUGGAUUUUUGGAAGACGAACUACUGCGAAAGCAUUUACCAAGGAUGUUUUCAUUAA